CCACUUUACUUUCUUCUCCAACUGCUGCUUCCGUCUAUUGCGAUUCCUCAGGCUACUGUCUCACACCCACCCCCCAUUCCUCAGGCCACCGUCGGUCUCACAGUCCACAGACCACCGCGAACUGCUGCUGCCGGCCCGCCCACGUUCCUCAGACCACUUUCGAACCUGAACGGCAAGUACUCCAGUCGGCAGUCUCCACAAGCCAGAAAGUUUGGGCGUGAAAGAGGGUGGCGGGUGGUGCUUGAUUCACUCCAAAAGAUGGAGUCAUCAAAAUCAUAGGUUGGAACGUGCCCAUCACCACGUUCUAGGAUUUUAUAGAGGAUAGUCGAAUGGUGCUCCGUCGAAGAUCCAACCGUCUCUGUUCAG